rnacentral:lncRNA from 10 species
GCGUCAGGUCGGGGAGCCGGUCGGGUUCCCGCUCACCGCCGCCGCCGCCGCCCCCUGCAGCCACUCUCCCGCCUCUACCGCCGCGGGAGCUGCAUCGUCCACUCCGGUCGGCGGUGGAACCGCCAGUCCGGGGUCACAGAGCUUGAGAAGCGACGCGCUGAGCCCCCCAUCACCUCCAGCCCGGGCGACCCCUCCCGGGUCCGCCCUCGCCCUGCGCAGCCGCCCGAGCCCCCAGCCCCGGGCGGCCCCGCUCCAGCAUCCCAGCUCCUGCACUCUCGCAGCCGCCGCCGCCCCCCGCCCGGAACAUGGACUCUGACUCUUGCGCCGCCGCCUUCCACCCGGAGGCCUCGGGCUCCCCUGGAAGGGCGCUGGGCUGGCGGGUCAGCUGGUGGUUCUUAGGUUUCCUUCUGUUUGUUAAAAGGGACAAUGUGGCCACUUCUCUGUGGAAAGGGAGUUGGUUGGGGGGUUGAGAUGGCCCGUGUUCAUAACUCAGUUUCCUGUUUUGCACGAUGUAAAAACCCUGUCUUUUUGCACGAUACAGCCAAAAGUAUUGGCUGAUUUCUUGCUGAGUGCCCUCUUAGUUGGUGUGUGAGGUCUUGGUGGGCUCAGGCCAGCUGUUUGCGAGUGUGGGAACUCAUAGGUUCUGUCUUUGUCUCUUCCUUUCACCUCAUUCUGGUAGCAGCAUAAAGGUUAGGCAAUCACUGGGACCCGCAUGGUGUUCCUCCAAAGAAUAGGGUAAAGGAGAGCUGGGAGGGAGCCCUCUCCGUUGGGUGACUCUUGUGUGCCCUUUAGACAGGC